ANAUGCAGUCGAGCGGUAGAGAGGUGCUUGCACCUCUUGAGAGCGGCGGACGGGUGAGUAAUGCCUAGGAAUCUGCCUGGUAGUGGGGGAUAACGCUCGGAAACGGACGCUAAUACCGCAUACGUCCUACGGGAGAAAGCAGGGGACCUUCGGGCCUUGCGCUAUCAGAUGAGCCUAGGUCGGAUUAGCUAGUUGGUGGGGUAAUGGCUCACCAAGGCGACGAUCCGUAACUGGUCUGAGAGGAUGAUCAGUCACACUGGAACUGAGACACGGUCCAGACUCNUACGGGAGGCAGCAGUGGGGAAUAUUGGACAAUGGGCGAAAGCCUGAUCCAGCCAUGCCGCGUGUGUGAAGAAGGUCUUCGGAUUGUAAAGCACUUUAAGUUGGGAGGAAGGGCAUUAACCUAAUACGUUAGUGUUUUGACGUUACCGACAGAAUAAGCACCGGCUAACUCUGUGCCAGCAGCCGCGGUAAUACAGAGGGUGCAAGCGUUAAUCGGAAUUACUGGGCGUAAAGCGCGCGUAGGUGGUUCGUUAAGUUGGAUGUGAAAUCCCCGGGCUCAACCUGGGAACUGCAUUCAAAACUGUCGAGCUAGAGUAUGGUAGAGGGUGGUGGAAUUUCCUGUGUAGCGGUGAAAUGCGUAGAUAUAGGAAGGAACACCAGUGGCGAAGGCGACCACCUGGACUGAUACUGACACUGAGGUGCGAANGCGUGGGGAGCAAACAGGAUUAGAUACCCUGGUAGUCCACGCCGUAANCGAUGUCAACUAGCCGUUGGGAGCCUUGAGCUCUUAGUGGCGCAGCUAACGCAUUAAGUUGACCGCCUGGGGAGUACGGCCGCAAGGUUAAAACUCAAAUGAAUUGACGGGGGCCCGCACAAGCGGUGGAGCAUGUGGUUUAAUUCGAAGCAACGCGAAGAACCUUACCAGGCCUUGACAUCCAAUGAACUUUCCANNNAUGGAUUGGGUGCCUUCGGGAANNNUUGANACAGGUGCUGCAUGGCUNNCGUC
rnacentral:rRNA from 1 species